UCACAGUGAAAAUCAAAACACAAAGUCGCCUCUCUUGAUGAAGCUGAUGGAGGCCAUGAAUUUGGAACUACUUGGACAGCUUCCUCAUGUAUGAAUUCCACCACUAUAAAGCCUAAUUUCUCCAUUUUGUAAAACACAAUCCAAUAUUACCUGAAAUUCAUGAAGAAGUUGACAAAACUGGAUUUUUAAUAUAUGCGACUACAUGUAACUACACCCACCACAUCUGGAACAUUGAACUUAAUGUAGAUUAUGUACCUGUACAAGACAUGUAGAUGUUAUUAAUAUUGAGGUGCGGGUACUGGACAUGGCAACAGCAUGGUAAUAAUGAGGCCAGACAACUGCAGGUAAAGCACAAAAAUGGCUUUAUCUGAUAUAGACCAGUCACGCUUACAACACAUACACACUACCUAUCAUGUUGGCUGCCCUGACUACUUACAAACCAGGGGGUGGGUGCACAUACGCACAUUAUUUACAACAGAUAACAUUAAAUACUACAUCUAACAUUACCGAACACAAUGACAACACAAUACAUGAUAAAUAUACCCUGCUAUUUACACUAUUAUACUUGGCAUUAGUCCAGCUUGUCACCUGAUGGGUACCCCCAAAGCUGCAAUAUAUAGAUAUACAACUAUCUAGAACUGAGUCUGACAUGCACUUCCUGUUUAUAGGUCAUGCAGAAUGGCCAUAAAUAUAAUUUUCUGGUGUCUAUGUUCAAUCAGUAUUGCUCUUCUUUUAAGUUGAUGCUUUUUAAAGAUUUAAUUGUGAGAGUUUUUGUGUUCACAGAGUAUACCCCAAUUAUUUGAGAAUGACAUGGUUCUUUGAAGAAAGCAUCUCCACCUUCAUAUACUCUGCACAUAACGUCUCCUUUCUAUGGGUCCUCAUUUGUGCUGGAUAUAAUUUCACAACAUGAACUAUCUAAAAGAAAAGCAUUAUUUGGCCUUUUUGAUGAAAUUUUGGGAUCAGCUGUCUUUUUUAUAAAUGAUGUCAUCGACUUCAGCAAGCCGUUUUACCACCUGAGAAAAUUGAUUCUUUCCAGAACACACUAGCCUUUUCAACCUUACUAUGGAUGCCCGUUUCCGCCACAAAAAGAAAAAAAAUAAGUCAUAAUAAUGAGAAACUGACUUCAUGGAGAACUGACAAAUAUACCAUUUCUUUAUUAAUUAAGUCUUUAUUAAUAUACCCAAUAUACUUAUGAUAGCCAAAUUUACUUUAAAGCUGAAUCCUCCUGUUGGGGGCCAUUUCAAUAAAAAUCUUGAGGUCCUUUUCCUUGUCAAUUUCCCUUUCUAUUGCCAGCAAGAGGAGGUCAGACAGCCGCUCUGAUAAGCAUUCUAGCUUAGUGUAGCAUGCAAAUACCCAAAAGAGCGAUAGGAUUUAGGCAUGUGAUAAUCUAACAUACUAUCUGGUAACUGCACCUGGUUCAUUACAUGGGACACUGAGGCCGGACUUAUAAUGAUUUUAAUUCAUUUAAUAAAAAAAUUACGAUAGUUCGUUGAAUAAUUUCUACAAUGUCAGUGUAUAAUGGGCAGCUGCAAAAUGCAGGCUCUGGCUCUAGUGCCGCGGAUGUGUGCAACGCAGCUAAAAGGGAAACAGACCGGCUGAGCUUUCAGAAGCUACGUCCACUCGAAGUGAAUAGCUUGAUGGCGAAGUAACUAGUCUCAGAAUGAGUCUGUAACCUUAACGCAAGAUCCUUAUUGCUGAGGACCCAAGCAGCUGGACCAGGCUGAGGGGACGCCCAUGUAACACCUAACUGCAGCAGAUGGAUGGCUAUUCCUGGAGGGUGGGACUAGACCAUGUGUCUGCCCGGGGUGUUGCCAGCCGGGAUCGCAAAGUGUUUAGUUGUAUGGUGGGUACGGGAGUGUAUUGCAUCAGAGCAUGCUCCCCAACCUGACCUGACGUGACCUGUUGAUCUAAAAGCAGCCAACUGUAGGUCACGCCAGAAAAGGACAUACUUGUAGUUUAAUGUCUGACUUUAAAUUAAUUUGUUUGCUUUCUGCUACAGGAAACCUGUACAACCAUGGCUCCACCUUACUUACGAGACCAACUGAUUGGUGCGAUCAUAACAAGGAGAGCUUGUCUAUGUAUGUGUAUUCAGCAAAUAAGAACAGCAUUCCAGUCUGAAUGUAUUUUGGGUGAUCGUCAAGAUCCUUUAGUAUAUCAGGAUGAAUCUCUCCUUGACAGUCACUCCUUUGGUCGAGAGUAAAUUAGGAGCCAAAGUCACCGAAGAUGUCUUCUCCCUUAAUGAACAAUGUAAUUAUAUAUUAAUGUAGUACAUUUUACUGUUAAUAUAAUGACUAUAUUGUAUCAUAUGUUUCAUGAUGUGUGGCUAAGUUGCUGUUGUUCCCAAUUGCUUCCACUUUUCCGUUUUUAUAUCACUAGCAGUUGAUCGUGGAAUAUUCACAAAUGGAUUUAUUGCACAGGUGGCAUCCUGUCACGAUACCACACUUGAAUUCAUUGAGCUCCUGAGAGCGACCCAUUCUUUCACAAAUGUUUGUAAAAGCUUGUCCACAUGCAUAGGUGCUUGAUACACCUGUGGCUAUGGAAGAGAUUGGGACACCUGAAUACAGUGAUUUGGGAGGAUGUCCCAAUACUUUUGUCAAUAUAGUGUGUAUAAUAUGUAUAUGUGUGUGUAUAUCGUGCACAAAAUGACAAAAGCGAGAGCUAUCUAGAGGUAAAACUGUAACAUCUGUAGAUGUGAAAUAUUACUGUGUGAAUUAUCGACGUCUUUAUGGGUACAUUUUUUUUUUUAUAUCUGUAGCCUCAAGGCGAAUAGUUGUAUACACUCUAUUUGCAGAGGUAGGAAGAGUAGCCAAAAUCUGUACCCAAGUAAAAGUACUGUUACUUUAGUAUUUUAACAGCUUAAGUAAGCGUAAAAUUACUCAACAAUCUCACUGCCUGAAUGAGAGUAAAAGACAAUUUAGAAAAUACUACUUGAGUAGUGAGCUACUUUACAGAAUCUGAAUAUAUUAACAUAUUAUACAGUUAGGGGUGGCAUGGUGGUGCAGUGGUUAGCACUGUUGCCUUACACCUCUGGGACCCGGGUUCGAGUCUCCGCCUGGAUCACGUGUUUGGUGUUUGCAUGUUCUCCCCAUGUCAUCGUGGGGUUUCCUCCGGGUACUCCGGUUUCCCCCCAUAGUCCAAAAACGUUCUGAGGCUAAUUGGAGUUACUAAAUUGCCCGUGGGUGUGCAUGCGUGAGUGAAUGGUGUGUGAGUGUGCCCUGCAAUGGGCUGGCCCCCCAUCCUGGGUUGUUCCCUGCCUCGUGCCCAUUGCUUCCGCGAUAGGCUCCGGACCCACCGCGACCCAGUAGGAUAAGCGGUUUGGAAAAUGGAUGGAUGGAAAAGUCAUUUAUUAAAGAAAAGUAUAUUGGUGACGCCACUGAAUGAUUUAUCACAAUGAAAAAAAUUGUCUUAAUAUUGCAUGUUUUUGCUAAUACUAGUGAAUGUCUAGAUGGAACUCAUGUUCCCAUCAUCGUAAUAAAGUAGUAAAUAUAGGAUAUAUGAAUAUGUGAACAGGCAACCUCUAAAUAGCAUUAAUAUGCAAGUAGUAUCAGAGCAGUUCUAUUUCCCAAUGUGUUGUAACUUAUUUGGGCCUACCUGAGUCUAUUGUCAGGAUUACACAAGUAAUUUUCUAUGACCAAGCAAAAUGGCCAGGCUCUGUGCAUCGCUGAUGGAUUUAUAGGGAAUGUACAUUGUAUGAUAAAUUGCAUCCUCUGCAACCAUACCACACAUUGAGGCAGAGGAAGAACAGCCACUCCACCAGGCAGACAUCAGAGAGGUCUCAGGGACAUCAGUGCAAAUAACUAUUUUUCUUGGUAAUCACAUUUGACCACCAAGAUAAAUGAAAUAAAGGCAAAUUUAUUACAGCUUCAUUGAUGUACAGUAGGUGGAGGGGUGCCUCUGAGGCUAGGGAUCUGUGUCAGCAACAGGAAGGUCGCUUGUUCGAAUCCUGUGAAUGUCAGGAGUGAUUCUACUCUGUUGGGCCCUUGAGCAAGGCCCUUAACCUUCAAUUGUCCAGGGUAUGAUGUUAACCUACAACUAGCCCUCCAAGCAAGUUCAACUUUCAGGGAAAAUUUGGGGGUUGGUGUCAGGAUUGGCACUGCAGCCACCAGAAAAAAACUUCCCACUGUUUCAUUCCAUUCAACCUGGAACGGUCCUGAAGUACUACCUGCUGCACAGCUGCACUUGGGUUCUCAUCCCUGAGGUGGUUUGGUGGGUGUGGCACCGUGCUGUAUCAGCACAUACUUCUUACCUCAUUCAUGUGCUCUUUAUUGUCUGCACAUAAAAAUGACACACACAAACAUGUCGGCCAUUUCACAGGAGUUAAGUUGGGGAGCAUGCACUGGUACGGUGCGUUGUGGCACCCACCACAUGACAAAGCACCUUGGGAUCCUGGUUGAUGACCCCCCUGGCCGACACUUGGCCAAACCAGCAGUACCCAAGGAUUCUUCAAAGGGACGGUACUAAAGGAGUCCAGUCUUCAUCUCAGAUCAAUGGAUAAUGUCCAUGUCUCUCAGCCAUACAGCAAGACAGGGAGCACCACGACUCCCUAGUCCAUGAAUUUGGACCUUCGUCCUCUUGCAAAGAUAUCGGGAGCCACACACCCCUUUCCAGUGACCUCAUGACCUCCCAUGCUCUCCCAGUCUGUCUACUGACUUCACAGGAAGAGUCACCAAAGACAUGUAUGUCGCUGCCAAGGUAAGUGAACUUCUUGAUACGGUCGACAUUCUCCCUGCAGACACACUGCUGAUGGACAUGCAGAAGAGGUCACUAAAGGUCUGGUUCUUGGUUUUUAUCAGGACACUAGCAAGCCCAGAUGCUCAGACUCCUCAUUCAGUCUCUCAGAACCCUGAUCAGAACCUCCAUUGACUCUGCAUUGACUUUUAUUUUCUCUUUUUUUUUUUAGGAAUAGGGUGGGACGCGCAGGAUUCCGCCACCUGCCAGUGGUGGAGAGACCGUGACUUGAGCACUCCCCCACUUUUAAUGCACCACAGUGUUUAGUUGCACAUACUUCAGUUCACACACUCCCACAUGAUCACACCUUAUACACACAUUUAGCUAAGGGGCAAUGGGGGCCUAAGGGGGGGCCCUUUUGAUCCCCUCUCUCAGGGCCUUCACAGUAUGGGGAGGUGGACUGGGGCGGUCUUGGGGGUGUUGCGGGUGGUUCUGAAGGAGGGGGGUGGCCCCCUCUGGCAUUAGUGGACCAGGUGGGGUCCUGGCCCAUGUUGCUGUGGGUCAGGGUCCCGGCGGGAGUUAAGAGGUACUCUGGGAUGCUCCAUGUGCUGUUGGCAGCUUUGGGGGUUUGGUCUUGGGCUGGGUGGGGGGGCCUGCCUUUUUCUGUGACCCUGAGGUCAGUUUCCUUGUGCUCCCCACUCCCCCUCAGCACUACCGGUGGUGGCAUGCGGCGCAGGCCUCUCCGGUGCAUGAUCAGAUGAUGAGGUAACUCCGGUCUGUAGAGCUGUUGGUGUGACCUAUGUUAUUGUGUAGGACAAUGUCAGGUUCCACCAUGCUCAAAUGGUGCAGGUAUGGUUUCAGGCCCAUCCAAAAUUCACCAUACUCUCCUUUCCUUACCCCAAUUGAGGAAUUUUUGUCCAUAUGGAGGUGGAAAGUAUAUGAUAAGCACCAGCAUCAACAAGGCCGUGGAUGAGGCAUGCAACAGCAUCACAGCAGACCAGUGUUAGGCCUGGGUUCGCAAUGUCUGAAAGUUCUUUCCAGAAUGUUUGGAAAAGGAAAACAUUCAUUUUGAUGUGGAUGAGAAUCUGUGACCAAAUCCACGUAACAGGUAUGAUGGAAAUGAGUGAGAUCUGUAAUCGUUUUUUGUAAGGCAGGUGAGGAACAUUGCAGUUGUUUUGUAGUACUCUAGUUUUUUUUUUUUUAUCAAAUUGUUGCUUUUUAUUUAAAUUGUUGCUUUUCAUUUACAGUCUUGUUUUUCAGAUUUUAUCAGUGAUUCCAAUGUUGUCACGGGAGACGGCAGCGAUCGCGGACAGAGCGGCGAUCGUGCGAGGCGAACGGGCAGGAAGCAGGCGGACAGGCGGAAGUCGGGGUAAACUGGGGGUUUAUUCCACAAACUGGGAGUAGGAGACAUGAAACGCCGACUAACAUCAAUGACAGACAACGGGUUUGUACAAAUCAGGAACUUAAAUACAUGGAACAAGGCAGCAGGAAACAAGACACGACUGGGCACGAUCAGGAAAUCACACGUGGGUAAUUAGGGGGCGUGGCACACACGAGGAGCGGACGAGCCAGGCAUGACAAAUGUAUCUAUAGUAUUCUCUCUAUGGGUCCUUUUACAAUGACAUUAUGUAUAGCACCAUGAUGAAACAUGUAUCACAUAUGCUGUACAAUAUCUAAUACAUGUAUGAACAAAUUAACAGGUAAACUAUUGGUAUCUUUUGUUUGGAUGAUAUAACGGAUUGUCUCCAUGAUUGAAAAGUUUAAUAAAAAUAUGAAUGAACGUUGGAUGGCCUGUGUUGCAAGUGGUGACCAUUUUGAUUUUUGUGUCUAGAGUUUUGAAAAAUGAUAGUAAGGUUCUAAAACUAGUUCCAAAGUGAUCAUAAAAACUGUAAUAUACCAUCCACUAACAUCAUAAUUUGUGUUUUUAAUUUAUAUUUCCUUAAUAUUGUUUUUCAGUAUAUUGCUUGUGUACUGUUCGUGCAGUAUAUAUUAGGUGUCUGCAAUGUACAGUCUUUUUUGCACUAUAUGUAUGUUCAUCUGUGGUUUAUGUGCUUUGCUGCUGUAUGCACAGGAGCUUCCCCCUGAGAUCAAUAAAUCGUAUUGUCCCUGA